CGCGGCCUAUCAGCUUGUUGGUGAGGUAAAGGCUCACCAAGGCAUCGACGGGUAGCUGGUCUGAGAGGACGAUCAGCCACACUGGGACUGAGACACGGCCCAGACUCCUACGGGAGGCAGCAGUAGGGAGUCUUGCGCAAUGGGCGAAAGCCUGACGCAGCAACGCCGCGUGGGGGAAGAAGGCUCUAGGGUCGUAAACCCCUUUCAGCAGGGACGAAAAUGACGGUACCUGCAGAAGAAGCGCCGGCCAACUACGUGCCAGCAGCCGCGGUAAUACGUAGGGAGCGAGCGUUGUCCGGAAUUAUUGGGCGUAAAGAGCUCGUAGGCGGUUCAGUAAGUCGGGUGUGAAAACUCAAGGCUCAACCUUGAGACGCCACUCGAUACUGCUGUGACUUGAGUCCGGUAGAGGAGUGUGGAAUUCCUGGUGUAGCGGUGAAAUGCGCAGAUAUCAGGAGGAACACCAGCGGCGAAGGCGGCACUCUGGGCCGGUACUGACGCUGAGGAGCGAAAGCAUGGGGAGCAAACAGGAUUAGAUACCCUGGUAGUCCAUGCCGUAAACGUUGGGCACUAGGUAUGGGAUCAUAUCAACGGAUUCCGUGCCGUAGCUAACGCAUUAAGUGCCCCGCCUGGGGAGUACGG
rnacentral:rRNA from 1 species